CCGUUGGCAAAAUUCUAGCCAUAUAAAAAAGUAAGGAAUUUUCGUAAGCCACAUGGUUCUUUUGGAUAUACUUACUUCAUUAUUUAUUAUUUAUAUUUUUAUUUUUCUUGCGGGCAAUGCAAUUAUGUCUUUCAUCUAGCUGUCUUGAUGUCUCUCCCUUUUUCUCAUCUUUCCAUCUCCAUCUUCUUGCCGACAAUUAUAUUAGGGCAUUUACAACUCGAGAACUCUUCCAGAUUGAAUGAUCGCAGCGAACUCUUUACUUAUAGAACCCACUGCGUUGAACACCGAGUUCAUCGCAUCGGGAUGUCUCACCGCUCUCUGUGACACAUCAGAGACCAGAGCUUUUGUGUUCCGCCCGACUCUCAGUGGCAUGUUGGACUGUCACCGAGUUAUCUCGCCUGAGCAGAGAUCCGAGGAUUUGGAGUUGUACAGUUAGAACAAACCGUAUGCAGUGACGGUGUUGUCUAUCCCAGAAGGUUUCCCAUGGAUGAUCUUUUCGCCUUCAAAAGCCCAUUUAUUUAGUAACUCAAGAUUGGUAAUACUAUUACUUACUGGCUUUGACUAAAAACAUAGAGAGUAUAACAUGAGCAUUCAAAGUCUAGAACCCAAAUCAGAUGUGAACAAUAUAAACUCAUGGAUCACUAGCAGUUUGCGAGGGUUGGUUAGUUCUGGAUCCAGUUAACUAGAGAAACAAGAACUGCUACAAAAAGCAUAGAACUUUUGCUAAUUAAUCUCUAUAUCGAUUCACUUAUGACUUCAUUCCAAUAAUUACAGGUUUGGUGAUCUCAAAGGAGUAAUAACAAAGGAAAAGCUUUUGAAAAGUGAUCAGAAUAACAAAGGAAACAGACAAGAUGCACAACAAGAAACGAUCUUUAUCUAUACAUUUCCCAGAUUCAAACAACUGAUAAUUGAACACAACCAACUCUGCAAAUAAAAUAAUAUAAUAAGCCCUUUUGCUCCAAAA